UUCCAGUAAGCAUUAUAUCUAUUAAAAUGUAGAUUGGGGGUAUUUCCACUUGGAAAUAAACUUUCAGCACUUUAUUGCACACGGUUUUUGAGUUUUAGGUAGAAAAAUAUGUUUUUUGGCUACAUUUUAGAAUGUCCGAGAUCUAUGUCAGCAUAUUAAAUGUCCCAGUUUCUUCAAGUUUUCUACAUUCAAACACUCCUAUAACCAUAUGUUCAUUUAAAGUUGAUAGGAGUACAAUAUCCAUAGCAAAAAAGAGCUAUUAAAUACACUAGUUUCUAAAAAAAAUGAAAAUACAGGUAAGAAUUACGUCAACUG